GGGGGUGUACCGGUUUCGACUGGUGCGGCUCAAUUUGCAGGCAGCAGGUGGAGCGGGUACGGCUCCUAACAUUUGUGCCAAAACUUAUAAUUGCCAAAAAUAACAGCAAUUACGGUUACGAAUACGCUUUAGCGGCGUAACCGCGUGGAACCGCUCCGCGGCCUUGAGGAGCGGCUUCCGCGACGCAACCAAGGCUGGCUGUUUGCUGGUUUUCGUACAGCAGACAGCAAGAUUUUACGAAACAAGGAAUGGCCGCAUGCCGCGAAGCAAAGCCAUUCACCAAAACCAGAUGCGCGGCUAAACUUGUAGAUGCUUGCCGGUUGCGUACUAGGACGCGAGUUCGACUCUCGCCACCUCCAUUU
rnacentral:tmRNA from 1 species